UAUAGCGAGCGAAAAAACACAGUCCGGUUGGUAGUCCGGAUGCACCCUUAAACAGGGUGUCGUAUCCUUCCCCCCUUAGGGAUGUCCGUCGCUUGCAUUAUUAAA
rnacentral:ncRNA from 1 species